CUUGAUUUCCAAUUUUAAACAUGAAGAAAAAGAGUGGCCAAAGGAACGAUCAAGUUCUCAUAACUAUUGAAGCCUCAACUUCAGACCAUCGCAGUGAGUAACGGAGACAGAAACCAUGUGCUUAAUGCAGAAGAAGCAAGUUAUGUAAUGCCUGACUCUUCAACUGUGAAAUUCAAAUAAUAUCCACUUUACAAAGUUCCCAAAAUAUCAUGUGCCCGUGUUAAUUACUCCAGAGUCAGAUGGAUAGUAGAUACGUCUUGUUAAGUUCGGUUUUUAAUGUAUUUUAUUUAUAUUUGUGUUUAUAUUGUAUUUAUAAUAUGUUCUAUUUAUAUUUUACAGGAUUUGAUAUUUCAUCAUAUGUUCACCUCUUUAUCAUGGAACAAGUCAGCCAAUAAAAAGUGUAUGUAUUCACAGCAUAUAGCAUGAGGUUUGAUCUAAGAGUACAUUGUGGAAUGGCUACAUCAAAAAAUGGGAACUAAGCCCAGAUAUGCGUGCUUGAAUGAUGAUAACCAGG
rnacentral:lncRNA from 1 species